GGGCUAGUGGCGCAACGGAUAACGCGUCUGACUACAGAUCAGAAGAUUAUAGGUUCAAAUCCUGGCUAGCUCG